AUUUUAUUUGGAGUACAGGAGUUCUCUUAUCUUCAGCAAGAAGAUGCAAAGGCAAACUCUAUUGAGUUGCUUCCUUUUCUUCUUACUCAGUUUCAUUCUGCUUUUGAAACUCUGAAAGAUUGGGGAGUUGAUUUAUAACUUAACUCUUUUCUCUUGCGUUUCUGUCAGUGAACAAUGAAAUCUUCAUUUAGUUCUCAGUUCACCCCAAAGAGCGAAUCUAAAAGGAUUUUGUCUGAACAGUUCCAGAGAGAACAAGAGUACCUGCCCAUUCAGGGUGGAAGGGAUAAAGAUUGCUGCUGCUUAGCAAUGCCCCCAGACAAGCAUAUUUUGAAUGCAGAGGGUUUAACAUGCAGAUGAUGGCUGCUGAGGAAUUUCUCACCUCAACUGUCAUGCCCUGACAGUGAGAAUUCAUAAGAAGAUGAAACAACUCUCUAAUCCCUUAAACUGCUAAUGCAUAGCUAAGAAUCCCUGUGCAUAACUAAUAAAAUUUACAUAUACUAAGCUUCAAUUUCUUUGAAGGAUUGUUUCAUUUGAUUUUUUUUUUUUUUGGAAAACUAAUAUGAAAAUCUUUAAGACGUAUAACAUGGACUAAAACGCUGUGUUUGGGAGAGCAGAGGAGCAUAAUAAAAGAUCAGUGUGCAGAGCGAGCACCUCUCGGGGGUUGCGCCUUUGUGUGUGUUCACUAAUUAUCUCUGCAGUAGAGGUGUACCAAAUGUCUCUGGAUGUGAAACGCAUCUUCCUGUGCUUUAAAGGAUAUCCUUUUCUUGCUUACUGUUCUUUUACCACACAUGUGAUUUGGGCUGUAAUCCUAAAAACAAAAUCCAGAAACAUAAAGGGCUGCUGCUAAAGACAGUGAUGCUUGAUGGUUAUCGUAGUUCCUCUGUGAAGGCAGAUAACGGGAAGAUUGGAGCACAUCCUUGGGGGAGAAAAACAGUCUCCACUUUGGUGGAGCCAAAUAUGUGCAAGGAAAUGAAGCUUUUAGCUUGAAUUCUUAACCUUAUGUAUUUCUAACUUGACAUGAAUGCGUACAUAGGAAGUCUCUUUCUACCUACUUUAUAUUACCUCAACAGAGAUACCGUGUACUUCUUUUAGUUAUCAGCUAGUGCUUUGUUAAUUAUGAUAAUAAAAAUCAUGUUUUUGUUCCUAAUUCAGUCUUCUCAAAAUUAUUUCUUAUCCAGUGUCGGAUACCUUUAAAAAUAUCUUCCUCUUUAGCUGAUACAAUCCUGUAUCUAGUCUUAUCUAAGAUGAUUUUAUGUAUUAACUGUUUAUAACAUUUAGUUUGCAUUUUCCUGCCCACCACCUCUCUUAUUUUUGGCAUAUUGCAUCCAAUGACAUCAUGAUACCCAAAGGGAUGCCUGUUUCCUGGCUUGUCUGGUUUGCUCCUGGGUUUGAAUUUGCUUCUCUGAUGUCAGGUCUGUCUAUGACUAUUUUUGUAAUCCUUCACUUUUGCUGGUUACAUGAGGAGAUUUUAAACUAACAUACCUGAUCAAUAAAUGAAAACUUUUACAAAUAUUCAAAACUGCUUAGAAUAAAUCUAGAGGUGAUAUGAGUAUAAUUUACACUUGGAAUAACCCAUGCCUUUAAAGCUAGCACUCAGAAAGCAGAGACAGGAGCAUGUCUGUGAGCUCAAGGAUAGCCUGUUCAUAAACAUAAAUCCAAACAGAUUUAUUUCUUUUAGACAGAUGUCUGAAUUCAGUUUACCAAAUCCAAUUUCAUAUAUUAUAAGCCAGAAAAAAGAGAAAGAGAAGCCACAAGAAGCUUAUAUGUGUUUUAUAUGUUUAUAGCUUUAUUUAUUUUUAAAUGUAGCUGUAUCUUAAAGAAAAUGGCAAUUACUUUUUAAAUUUUAAUAUCUAGCCUUUUAGAAUUUCCAUAAUUACUGGAAAAUAAGGUAAAAUAAUAAAUGUAAUUGAGAAAAAUGUGUGCUAUGGUAUAUUUUAUUAUUCUUAAGGGAAAUAAUAUAGCUAAUUUUAAUUCUGUUCAACAUAAUGGUAUUAAUUAUUUAAAUUACUAUGCAUCAGAAGCUACAUAUUAAAACCAUUCAUGUAGCAAUGCCCAACAUAGCAUAGAUGUCAUCCUAUAACAUUUUAUAAAAAAACAAAAUAUGUUAAUAUUAAAAUGCACAAACCUCCAAUGAGCACUUUGUUGUUUCAACAAGAAUGACAGAAUUCAUAAUCUCAAGCCUAUUACGAGAGUAAGUAUGCUAAAUGCCAAAGGUAAUGGCACAACAGGGAUUAAUUCUUAUGAGGAUGAAAUGGAUGUGGGAUAUGAACAAUGGAGAAACUAACAAGAAGCGACUAUGCCACACAAGAUAAAAUAAUAAAUACAGAUUUGUUUGGGAAAACUAUGU
rnacentral:lncRNA from 1 species